rnacentral:pre_miRNA from 1 species
UCUUAGGGAGGAGCAAAGAAAGUGGCUUCUUGAGAUGGAAUCUAUUCCUGGUGAAGAUGCCAUGAA